CUCAAUUUGACUCAACGCGGGAAAACUUACCAGGUCCAGACAUAGUGAGGAUUGACAGAUUGAGAGCUCUUUCUUGAUUCUAUGGGUGGUGGUGCAUGGCCGUUCUUAGUUGGUGGGUUGCCUUGUCAGGUUGAUUCCGGUAACGAACGAGACCUCAGCCUGCUAAAUAGUCACGCCCGGCUUCUGCCGGGCGGCAGCGCUUCUUAGAGGGACUAUCGGCGACUAGCCGAUGGAAGUGUGAGGCAAUAA
rnacentral:rRNA from 1 species